rnacentral:rRNA from 1 species
UACCACAGCCAAUCACCCUGCAGCCCAGGACCGAUUACUCACUGAAGCUAAGCAGGGCUGAGCCUGAUCAGUACCUGGAUGGGAGACCACAUGGGAAAACUAGGUUGCUGUUGGAA